GUGAGGAAUAUUGGGCAAUGGGCGCAAGCCUGACCCAGCCAUGCCGCGUGCAGGAUGACUGCCCUAUGGGUUGUAAACUGCUUUUCUGCAAGAAGAACCUUCCCGACGUGUCGGGGACUGACGGUAUUGCAGGAAUAAGCAUCGGCUAACUCCGUGCCAGCAGCCGCGGUAAUACGGAGGAUGCAAGCGUUAUCCGGAUUCAUUGGGUUUAAAGGGUGCGUAGGCGGGAUAGUAAGUCAGUGGUGAAAUCCUACAGCUUAACUGUAGAACUGCCAUUGAUACUGCUGUUCUUGAGUCCAGUUGAGGUGGGCGGAAUGUAUAAUGUAGCGGUGAAAUGCUUAGAUAUUAUACAGAACGCCGAUUGCGAAGGCAGCUCACCAAUCUGGUACUGACGCUGAUGCACGAAAGCGUGGGGAGCGAACAGGAUUAGAAACCCGAGUAGUCC
rnacentral:rRNA from 1 species